rnacentral:rRNA from 1 species
UUGAAUGCUGGCGGCGUGGCUAAAGCAUGCAAGUCGAGCGAACCCGCAAGGGUGAGCGGCGGACGGGUUAGUAAUACGAUCGAACGUACCUCGAGGUGGGGGAUAGGCGUGGGAAACUGCGCGUAAUAUCCCAUGAUCUCUCCGGAGCAAAGGUUUACCGCCUUGAGAUCGGCGAUCGUCCUAUCAGCUAGUUGGCGGGGUAAAGGCCCACCAAGGCGAUGACGGGUAGCAGGUGUGAGAGCACGACCUGCAACAUCGGGACUGAGACACUGCCCGGACUCCUACGGGAGGCUGCAGCGACGAAUCUUCCGCAAUGGGCGCAAGCCUGACGGAGCGACGCCGCGUGUGGGAUGAAGCGCCUUCGGCGUGUAAACCACUGUCAGGGGACAGAAACAAUGAUCGUCCCCAGAGGAAGAGACGGCUAACCCUGU